rnacentral:misc_RNA from 1 species
UACGUAGGGGGCGAGCGUUGUCCGGAAUUAUUGGGCGUAAAGAGCUCGUAGGCGGUUUGUCGCGUCGGCCGUGAAAACUGGAGGCUUAACCUCCAGCUUGCGGUCGAUACGGGCAGACUUGAGUUCGGUAGGGGAGACUGGAAUUCCUGGUGUAGCGGUGGAAUGCGCAGAUAUCAGGAGGAACACCGGUGGCGAAGGCGGGUCUCUGGGCCGAUACUGACGCUGAGGAACGAAAGCGUGGGGAGCGAACAGG